CUGACAUACUUGUUCCGCUCUAGCAGCACGUAAAUAUUGGGGUAGUAAAAUAAAUAUUAAACACCAAUAUUAUUGUGCUGCUUUAGCGUGACAGGGA
ensembl:miRNA MIR16B microRNA mir-16b